rnacentral:lncRNA from 1 species
GUUAAAUAGUCCUCCACAAAGGGUCACCCAGACCCUCCUAUGCUAAAUGGAAUAUUCAGACCAGAAAUUUUCCUCACCUGUGUCUUCAGGACACACUCAAGUGUUGACUCUCUUCUUCCCUUGGAUGCUAAAGAGAAGACAGGGCUAGAAUAGCUUCCCAGUCCCAGUCAGAAGCAUUGUGGUGUCAUUGAUGGAGGGAUGACAAGGCUUUGGUGACUUGGGUCAUCAUCUCGUUCCCUGCUGAGCUCCUUUUCAGGCAUAUGAAUGCUUUUUGUGUAGCUGCCCAUAAGUCAGAGGUAAUCACCCCCUUUUGGCUGUAAGUUCUUUAACCAUUCCCCAAUUGAUGGACAUCCCCUCAAUUUCCAAAUCUAUGCCUCCACAAAAAGAGCUCCUAUAAAUAUUUUUUGUACAAAUAUGUACUUUUCCCUUUAAAAAAACCUGUUUAGAAUAUAUGGCUCGUUGUAGUAUUGCUGGAUCUCAAAGGGUGUGAUGAGAUAAGUUCAGAGCAGUGUUAGCUUAUUGCUUUAAAAUUCUUUGUUUUGCUUUUCUAGAGAAGAAUAUGUUCACUUCUUUCUUUAAAAAGAUUUCUUUUCAGCUGGAAAGCAGUGAAGCUGCAGAAAAGAAAACAUCAUAGCUAAGGAAAUUACCUCUACAAUGGAAAACCUUCCUAAUGGUGAUUUUACUGUGGAAUGUCUCUGGAGAACCAGAGAAAUGGAAUUAAAAAGACAAGAGCUGGCAACACAAGCAGCCUGGGAAUGUAAAGCUGAGAAAUUUUUCAUCGAAAUUAAAGAGAUACAUGCCAUGAAAGAAAUUGAAGCUAGGGAAGAUGAAAAGGUCAUUGAAAAGGACAAUCGUUUUUAUGAUGAUUUGACUCUGGCAUCUCAUUUGAGAACCAGAGCAACUGAAUUUGAAAAACAGAAACUGGCAAUAAAGACCAUUUUUGAAGAGAAAACACAGACAUUUCUCAAGGAAAUCAAAGAGAUAUGUGCUAUGGUGAGAGAGUCCAAUUCAUGGGUACUUUUCCCAUUUGAAUUCAACAAGGAUUUCUUCAGGGCCUGUUUGUGUGCAGUCUCCUGA